UACGUAGGGUGCAAGCGUUAAUCGGAAUUACUGGGCGUAAAGCGUGCGCAGGCGGUUAUGCAAGACAGAUGUGAAAUCCCCGGGCUCAACCUGGGAACUGCAUUUGUGACUGCAUAGCUAGAGUACGGUAGAGGGGGAUGGAAUUCCGCGUGUAGCAGUGAAAUGCGUAGAUAUGCGGAGGAACACCGAUGGCGAAGGCAGCCUCCUGGGCCAGCACUGACGCUCAUGCACGAAAGCGUGGGGAGCAAACAGG
rnacentral:rRNA from 1 species